AGCCAUUUCCUUUACAAACAGUUCUGAGGCUGAGAUUUAAUGAGGUUUAUGUCUAAUAGUAAAAUUAGAAUGAAGAUUCAGUGAGUGUUGAGUGUCCCUCCCACACUCAAUGAUUUAACCUAGGGAAAAAUUUCACGUACUGAAGAGAUUGCCAGUGUUGUUAAAAAGAAAAUCUGGUCAGGACAAAAGAGAUGCCUGUGUACCCUUUUUGAAGUUCUGGGGGUGUUUCCCUCUUCCUCAGAUGAGCUCUUUGCAAAAAUCCUGCAAACAAGAGAAGAUGAGGCUGGUGAGAUACUCAAGGUAAAGGUAAUGUAAUGGAGGGAUAUAAGCGUCAUAAUCCAAAGCUCCACUGCAGGAAGCCACGUACUUAAGUCUUUUUGGACAAUUUCCUCAGAACUGUGAAAAACUACUGUUGCAGCAUGCUCCUGAGAUAACUGGUCUUUCUGGCAUUAACUGGUGGUUUCACCGGAGCACGCAGCAUUGUGAUUAACCAGGGGCUUCAACUGAAAGGCAUGCAUGCAUUUUUGCAAUUUAAUGAUAAAGAUAUGUGUGCUUUGAAAACAUAUUAGAAACUUGUAGAAUGACUGUGGGGCUAUUAUUAUUUUCAUAUUGUGCCCUGCUAGCUUUCAUCGCCUCUAACAGGAUCAUACUGUUUCUCAUCUUUGCAGAAAUGUGAUGUUCUUGAAGGAGAUUUCUUUUUCCUGGAAACAUUUAAGUUGUCAUGUUGCCAGGUUAAAAUAAAGAGACUCUUGUCUCAUCCAAAAGUUUCCUUCCUUCUUGGUGCUUUUGUAAUGCAGUUUCCACAAAUUGCAAACAUCAUGGGACUUGUCCCAAGAGAUGCUCAAGGAAAAACUGAAUGUUAUACAUGUAGCAUACCCCCUUACAAACCAUACCUCCCAUUUGAUCAUCAUUUAUGCAGUUCAAAAUGUCUUACUCUGUUGUACCUCCUUCCUCAG
ensembl:lncRNA